UCACUUUCAACAACGGAUCUCUUGGCUCUCGCAUCGAUGAAGAACGCCAGCGAAGUGCGAUAAGUAAUGUGAACUGCAGUAUUCCGUGAAUCAUCGAACCUUUGAACGCAUAUUGCACUUUCUGGUAUUCCGGAAAGUAUGCCUGUUUGAGGGUCAGC
rnacentral:rRNA from 1 species